AGAGUUUGAUCAUGGCUCAGAGCGAACGCUGGCGGCAGGCUUAACACAUGCAAGUCGAGCGGGCGUAGCAAUACGUCAGCGGCAGACGGGUGAGUAACGCGUGGGAACGUACCUUUUGGUUCGGAACAACACAGGGAAACUUGUGCUAAUACCGGAUAAGCCCUUACGGGGAAAGAUUUAUCGCCGAAAGAUCGGCCCGCGUCUGAUUAGCUAGUUGGUGAGGUAACGGCUCACCAAGGCGACGAUCAGUAGCUGGUCUGAGAGGAUGAUCAGCCACAUUGGGACUGAGACACGGCCCAAACUCCUACGGGAGGCAGCAGUGGGGAAUAUUGGACAAUGGGCGCAAGCCUGAUCCAGCCAUGCCGCGUGAGUGAUGAAGGCCCUAGGGUUGUAAAGCUCUUUUGUGCGGGAAGAUAAUGACGGUACCGCAAGAAUAAGCCCCGGCUAACUUCGUGCCAGCAGCCGCGGUAAUACGAAGGGGGCUAGCGUUGCUCGGAAUCACUGGGCGUAAAGGGUGCGUAGGCGGGUCUUUAAGUCAGGGGUGAAAUCCUGGAGCUCAACUCCAGAACUGCCUUUGAUACUGAAGAUCUUGAGUUCGGGAGAGGUGAGUGGAACUGCGAGUGUAGAGGUGAAAUUCGUAGAUAUUCGCAAGAACACCAGUGGCGAAGGCGGCUCACUGGCCCGAUACUGACGCUGAGGCACGAAAGCGUGGGGAGCAAACAGGAUUAGAUACCCUGGUAGUCCAA
rnacentral:rRNA from 1 species